GACGAACGCUGGCGGCGUGCUUAACACAUGCAAGUCGAACGGAAAGGCCCUGCUUUUGUGGGGUGCUCGAGUGGCGAACGGGUGAGUAACACGUGAGUAACCUGCCCUUUACUUUUGGAUAACUUCAGGAAACUGGGGCUAAUACCGGAUAGGAUCUCCUGCUUCAUUGUGUGGGUUGGAAAGUUUCGGCGUUUGGGGAUUGACUCGCCGCUUAUCAGCUUGUUGGUGGGGUAGUUGCUUACCAAGGCUUUGACGGGUAGCCGGCCUGUGAGGGUGACCGGACACAUUGGGACUGAGAUACGGCACAGACUCCAACGGGAGGCAGCAGUGGGGAAUAGUGCACAAUGGGCGGAAGCCUGAUGCAGCAACGCCGCGUGCGGGAUGACGGCCUUCGGGUUGUAAACCGCUUUCGCCUGUGACGAAGCGUGAGUGACGGUAAUGGGUAAAGAAGCACCGGCUAACUACGUG
rnacentral:rRNA from 1 species